GUUCACGGCCGCCGGAGCUCUGAAAUGGGGCAACGUUACGUUAAGGACUACCGCAUGGCUGUGGUUAUAAGGUAGCGAACGGAAGCAGUUGUUUACAUACUUUCGCGGUGUUUUAUUCGAUUUCGCGGUGUCUCUUUUAUCCGACAUUACAGUGUAAUUACGCUAUACUGGACUCUGCAAAAAUUAUAGCAAGAAGUCGUGACUACAGUCGAACAUAUAACACAAUAUGCCAGAAAAAUGUUGUGUUCGUGGUUGCAACAGCAACUACAAAUCCAGCAAGGAAGAGGGUUACAUCGCAGUGUUCAGAUUCUGAAGAGGAAAACAGAAAACGAUGGACAAGAAAUAUCCCCAUAAAGGACUCGACUCCAUCAAAUAGAAGUGUUGUUUGUAUUAAACAUUUUGAAGAAUGUGGUGUAUCAAGAGUGGAGAUUUACAAGGACUCUGAUGGGAACUGUCAUGAGUUUCCUCGUCAAAGGCCAUUGUUUUUACCAGAAGCUGUGCCAAAAAUGUUCCCUAGGUUACCAUCGUAUUUAAGUAAGGUGCAGCCUCCAAGAAGGUGUGACCCAGAAAUAAGAAGGAAGCGUGCACACCAUGAAGAGGAGAAGAAUGAAGCCAUGCUAAAUGAGGACAUUAUUGCAAAUUUUCAGUGUGUGUGUGCUGUGUACCAGGAUAGAAUAAACAGUGUAGGAAAGUGGAGUGUUAGUGUUAAAGAGAAUAAGAUAUUCUUUUAUACUAUAGAUUUUUCUGAAGACAUUCCUCAGGUCAAAGUGAGUAUGGAAAUUAAUGACAAACUCAUUUCAAGUGUGUGUGAGCAGCUCAGUUGGAGUCUACCUUCCUCACUUAGAAUAACCAGAUGGUCAUAAAUAGAAAAUAUUUUGAGUAGAGAUAUCAAAUGUGAUAGCUACACACCCACUUUUAGUUCUCCUUUACAUGAAUUAAAGAAUUUUGUAAAGAUACUUACUCUGCAUUCAGAAGCUAAUCCAAAUUGCUGUGCCACACUCUUGUUUCUGUUGGAACAGAUAGAUUUGUUGGCAAUGAAUAAGCGGAUGCAUGCAUUUAUCAUCUACAACCAAUCUCCAGCAUGCUAUACAGCACUCCGGUCAAAUGGAUUACUUACCUUACCACAUGUGAAACACAUU